GAUCAAGAGGGUCCUAUCUCCAGAACUUUGAGCUGCAUCCCCCCCAAAAGGGAUUAUUGUUUUGGCUGUUAUCAGUGAAGAGAAUGGACAGUGUUUCUGACUGAGGUGAACAUUCUCUAUCCAUUUAAUUCCCGCUGACAGAACCCUUUGGAACAUCAACAGCAUCACUGGCAAUUGUGGGAAGAAGAAGGGAUAAUGUGACACUCUGCAUUUUUUUGAUCUUAAAUCAAACAAGUUUUAUGUCUUUGAUACAUGCAAUCCUGCUGACCAGACUGAUAUCAAUCAUAAUGGUGCAGACAUUUUUGUGGAAGAGAUCUUCAGGGAGGAAGUAGAGAGAGAACAGGACUCAGACAGUUGGAAAUGGUGAUUCACCUUUGUGGAGCAAAUCUAUCAACGAAACAGUGCAAUUAAAGCAGCCCAGAGCACUUGGUUAGAAUGAACCAUGACUCUGAAACCAGCUCCCCAGAGCGAUGCUGCAGUUCACAAAUGUGCUCGUGUUAUGAUGGUGGUGGGGAAUAGUCCAGGAAUCUCUUAAAAAAAGAAGAAAAGCACAUUUAAAAGAAAAAAACCCCACAUUCCUCAACAGAAUGUGACAUCAGCAGGUUUUUCCAAGCAAGUUUGAGCUGCCUACACCAACCAGCAUGCACCUUCCCAACCACUUCUGAGUCACUCUUCAUUAAUCAUCUGAAAACUUUACUCUCAAAUGGGUUCCAAUAUUAAAUAAGAUUAAUUGUAUACCCAGCCACCAUGAACAGGCAUGAAAAACUGUAAAUAACUGAGAUUUUAAGGCAUAAAAAGAGGAAGGGAAAAAAGCAAUCAACAAAAAUAUAUUUAAAAAGUUAUGUGAGGAUACAUUGGGGUCUCAGAUGAAAGUCUUUGUGGGGCAAGUGCCACGGGGAAAGUACUCCCUCUGCUCUAUGCAUACUCCUUCCCGCAGCUCACAACACUGCUGCACCUCUCCUACAUGCUUCUUGCAUGGGCGCCUCGCAUUGGAUUUUAGUAUUUCUUUACGUUCCUCUUCAGAGGAACAGGCUGUGUCCUUUUCAACAGCCGUAGGAGGGCUCCUUUUAGAACUUCUCAGAUAAGAAGUUUGAAAACUAUUUCAGAGGCCGAUAGGCAGUUUCUGGUUUUAUUGCCACUGAGG